rnacentral:rRNA from 1 species
GAUGAACGCUGGCGGCGUGCCUAAUACAUGCAAGUCUAGCGAACGGACCAGAAGCUUGCUUCUUUGAUGUUAGCGGAGGACGGGUGAGUAACACGUGGAUAACCUACCUAUAAGACUGGGAUAACUUCGGGAAACCGGCGCUAAUCCCGGAUGAUAUUUUGAACCGCAUGGUUCAAAAGUGAAAGACGGUCUUGCUGUAACUUAUAGAUGGAUCCGCGCUGCAUUAGCUAGUUGGUAAGGUAAAGGCUUACCAAGGCAACUAUGCAUAGGCGACCUGAGAGACGGGUCGGCGACACUAGAGCUUAGACACGGUCCAUGCGACUGCGAUACGCAGCAGUAUCGUAUCUGCCGCAAUGGUCGAGAACCUUACGGAGCAGCGCCGCGUGAGUGAUAGAGAUCUUCGGAUCGUGAUGCUGUGUUAUUAGUUAUGAACAUAUUUGUAAUUAGCUGUACAGAUCUUGACGGUACCUAAUCAGAAAGCCACGGCUAACUACGUG